rnacentral:rRNA from 1 species
AGGGUGUAAACGCUGCAGACUUGGUGUUGGGAACCCUUCGGGGGUGCUCAGUGCCGGAGAGAAGUUGUUAAGUCCGCUACUUGGGGAGUACGUCCGCAAGGAUGAAACUUAAAGGAAUUGGCGGGGGAGCACCGCAACGGGAGGAGCGUGCGGUUUAAUUGGAUUCAACACCGGAAAACUCACCAGGGGAGACUGUUACAUGAAACCCAGACUAAUGAUCUUGGUUGAUUUUCAGAGAGGUGGUGCAUGGCGUCAGUGACU